UCCAGUAUAUCACUGGCAGUCUCAUUAGAGUGCCCUUUCGUAGCAACUAAUGACAAGGGUUGCGCUCGUUGCGGGACUUAACCCAACAUCUCACGACACGAGCUGACGACAGCCAUGCAGCACCUGUGUUCUGGCUCCCUUUCGGGCACUUCCACAUCUCUGCGGAAUUCCGUACAAGUCAAGGGUAGGUAAGGUUUUUCGCGUUGCAUCGAAUUAAUCCACAUAAUCCACCGCUUGUGCGGGUCCCCGUCAAUUCCUUUGAGUUUUAACCUUGCGGCCGUACUCCCCAGGCGGUCAACUUCACGCGUUAGCUUCGUUACCAAGGGAAUCAAUCCCCCGACAACCAGUUGACAUAGUUUAGGGCGUGGACUAC
rnacentral:misc_RNA from 1 species